GGAGAGGUGGCUCAGUGGUUAAGAGCACUGGCUGCACAUGGAGAGGGUCCAGGUUCAAUUCCUGGCACCUACA
rnacentral:tRNA from 1 species